AACUUAUCUUCGCGCGAAAUUUUUCUCAUUUCGUCGAAGAAAAAGCCCGUGGAAUCCGACAAAGGAAAAAGUCGAUUCGGAAUAAAUUCGGUUUUUGGAAAACGGAUUUUAGGUAUAGCUUUCAACCCUGGGCUUAUUUUAGCUUACAAAAGCUCCUUGGCUUAGAGGCAAGUGAGGCUUAGUGAGCAUGCACUAUUUAUCAUCAUUCAUUAUAAUAUUUAAGUUUUCUUGUAAAAUAGACACAGUCGCAUGGCAGCACGUCAUUGUCAGACUUUGAAG
rnacentral:lncRNA from 1 species